rnacentral:misc_RNA from 1 species
GGAAGGAUCAUUAUCGAGAGCUUAUAGCUCGUCGAUCGAGAGAGUUAAAGAAUUGGGUCUACUGAUAGAUUCAAACGGUGAGCGCUUUGCGCAAGUCCGGUUCAGUAGACUAACAGAUUCUGUCUGGCCGUAUGACUUUGGUAUUGUAGUCAGUGAUAGUGAGCCACUGACCUGCUUCAUUUGCAAUACCAUUGUGGUACACAGUCCAGGUCAGAUUCUCGCGUCCAUGGGUAAACGGUGGGUACCUAUCUGGUAUAGCUUCGUGGCUUAUCACCCAGGCUGCGUGACCAAUAAGCAAUACCAGUAAAUCACCUUCGGGUGGUAGGUUUAAUGAGUCUCAGUGUCAUGGUAUGUGAAUAGUACCAUAGCUCGCUUGUGCACGGAAUGUGUACCACUGAGAUCGCCCACCAAACUUCUUUUUAACCCUUUUAAUACAAUAAAUAGACUUGGCUUGUCCAUUUCUAUAAAACUCAAUUCUGAGCGGUGGAUCACUUGGCUCGUGGGUCGAUGAAGAACGCAGCUAGCUGCGUGAAUUAAUGUGAAUUGCAGACACAUUGAACAUCGACAUUUCGAACGCACAUUGCGGCUUUGGGCUUUCCCAAAGCUACGUCUGUCUGAGGGUCGCAUUUGUGACAGCAUAUGGUGUCUUACCCUGUAACGGAUCUGUUACACUGAUUCUAGACGCCACAUUGGACUGCUGACGUUGUGAUUCGACGGGAGAUUUUUAUUACCGUCACUUCGACGUUACCAGUCUUGAGAAAAUUACAAUGGCCAUGCGACCAUUUUCUUGGCCCUAUUCGAACCCUUUGGUGUGAUCAGACACUGGAGUCAGCUCUUGUUGCGUGAAAUUUGCGAUUAGAGCUAAAUGUAGUGUCAAUAGCCAAAGAGUGGUUCAAAUUCUCGACCUCAGAUCAGACGUGAGUACCCGCUGAAUUUAAGCAUAUUAUUAGGCGGAGGAAAAGAAACUAACGAGGAUUCCCAUAGUAACGGCGAGUGAACUGGGAAUAGCUCAGCGCUGAAUCUUGCAGUCUGGGACUGUCAAGAAAUGUAGCGUUUUGGUAACCUUUUCUGGUAUCGUCAAGCUUUCUGAGUCCCCUUGAACGGGGCCACUGCCCAUAGCGGGUGCAAGGCCCAUGCGAAAGUAGACUUUACCAGUAUGAGGUAUACCAUAGAGUCGUGUUGCUUGAGAGUGCAGCACAAAUGCGUGGUAAACUCCAUGCAAAGCUAAAUAUAACCACGAGACCGAUAGCAAACAAGUACCGUGAGGGAAAGUUGCAAAGAACUUUGAAGAGAGAGUUAAAAGGGCGUGAAACCGCUUGGAAGUAAACGGGUGGAACUGCAAUGCAGUCUAUAGAAUUCAAUUUGUCGAGCGUACAUCGAGUGGUAAACGAUCGCAAGACGUGAACCGUUUGUUUGUGCGUUUCGAUGAAUGUAUUUUCUGUAGACGAGCGUCACGACCGAUUGACCCGCUAACAGAAAGGUGAUUGAAAGUGGACUGUUACUUCGGUAUACAGUGACCCGUCAGUCAUUCUGUUUGAGUCGGGACGAUCGAGAAUAGACCGUGUCGGAUUCGCAGGUGACUUCGACAUAUGGGCUGAAUUUAACUUGUGAGACAUGCUUGCAUGGUUCGCAGACCCUCGGCUCAGACUGUUAUUUCACCCUGCAUUGACACAUAUGGUCUGUGGCGUCAGUGUCAGUCCCCCACCCGACCCGUCUUGAAACACGGACCAAGGAGUCUAACAUGUACGCAAGUCAUUGGGCGGUAAACCCAAAGGCGAAAUGAAAGUGAAUAUAGUGGGAUUUUGAGUCUACGGACUUGAACGCACCACUGUCCCGUCUGAUCUGCAUGUCGGAUAGGCGGAGAAAGAGCGUACACGUUGGGACCCGAAAGAUGGUGAACUAUGCCUGAGCAGGAUGAAGCCAGAGGAAACUCUGGUGGAAGUCCGUAGCGGUUCUGACGUGCAAAUCGAUCGUCAGACUUGGGUAUAGGGGCGAAAGACUAAUCGAACCAUCUAGUAGCUGGUUCCCUC